rnacentral:rRNA from 1 species
UGGGGAAUAUUGGACAAUGGGGGGAACCCUGAUCCAGCCAUGCCGCGUGUGUGAAGAAGGCCUUAUGGUUGUAAAGCACUUUAAGCGAGGAGGAGGGUACUGGUAUUAAUACUACCAGGUACUGGACGUUACUCGCAGAAUAAGCACCGGCUAACUCUGUGCCAGCAGCCGCGGUAAUACAGAGGGUGCGAGCGUUAAUCGGAUUUACUGGGCGUAAAGCGUGCGUAGGCGGCUAAUUGAGUCGGAUGUGAAAUCCCCGAGCUUAACUUGGGAAUUGCAUUCGAUACUGGUUAGCUAGAGUGUGGGAGAGGAUGGUAGAAUUCCAGGUGUAGCGGUGAAAUACGUAGAGAUCUGGAGGAAUACCGAUGGCGAAGGCAGCCAUCUGGCCUAACACUGACGCUGAGGUACGAAAGCAUGGGGAGCAAACAGG